GGGGAAGAGUGGCGAACGGGUGAGUAACACGUGGGCAAUCUGCCCUGCACUCUGGGAUAACUCCGGGAAACCGGAGCUAAUACCGGAUACGACUCUCCAGGGCAUCCUGGGGGGUGGAAAGCUCCGGCGGUGCAGGAUGAGCCCGCGGCCUAUCAGCUGGUUGGUGGGGUAACGGCCCACCAAGGCGACGACGGGUAGCCGGCCUGAGAGGGCGACCGGCCACACUGGGACUGAGACACGGCCCAGACUCCUACGGGAGGCAGCAGUGGGGAAUAUUGCACAAUGGGCGCAAGCCUGAUGCAGCGACGCCGCGUGAGGGAUGACGGCCUUCGGGUUGUAAACCUCUUUCAGCAGGGAAGAAGCGCGAGUGACGGUACCUGCAGAAGAAGCACCGGCUAACUACGUGCCAGCAGCCGCGGUAAUACGUAGGGUGCGAGCGUUGUCCGGAAUUAUUGGGCGUAAAGAGCUCGUAGGCGGCCUGUCGCGUCGGAUGUGAAAGCCCGGGGCUUAACCCCGGGUCUGCAUUCGAUACGGGCAGGCUAGAGUUCGGUAGGGGAGAUCGGAAUUCCUGGUGUAGCGGUGAAAUGCGCAGAUAUCAGGAGGAACACCGGUGGCGAAGGCGGAUCUCUGGGCCGAUACUGACGCUGAGGAGCG
rnacentral:rRNA from 1 species